rnacentral:rRNA from 1 species
AGCAGCCGCGGUAAUUCCAGCUCCAAUAGCGUAUAUUAAAGUUGUUGCAGUUAAAAAGCUCGUAGUUGAAUUUCGGGAUUGACACAUCGGUCGUGCCUUAAGGGGUAUGAACUGGUGUAGUCAAUUUCUCACCUUUUGGAGAACCGCGAUGCCCUUAAUUGGGUGUCGCGGGGAACCAGGACCUUUACUUUGAAAAAUUAGAGUGUUUAAAGCAGGCAUUUUGCUUGAAUACAUUAGCAUGGAAUAAUAAAAUAGGACGGCAUGAUUCUAUUUUGUUGGUUUCUAGGAUCACCGUAAUGAUUAAUAGGGAUAGUUGGGGGCAUUAGUAUUCAAUUGUCAGAGGUGAAAUUCUUGGAUUUAUUGAAGACUAACUACUGCGAAAGCAUUUGCCAAGGAUGUUUUCAUUAAUCAAGAACGAAAGUUAGGGGAUCGAAGACGAUCAGAUACCGUCGUAGUCUUAACCAUAAACU